CUACGGGUUGCACCAGUGAGGAAUAUUGCGCAAUGGGGGAAACCCUGACGCAGCGACGCCGCGUGGAUGAUGAAGGCCUUCGGGUCGUAAAAUCCUGUCAGAAGGAAAGAAGUGUAUGGUAGCUAAUAUCUGCCAUACUUGACGGUACCUUCAAAGGAAGCACCGGCUAACUCCGUGCCAGCAGCCGCGGUAAUACGGAGGGUGCAAGCGUUGCUCGGAAUUACUGGGCGUAAAGCGCGCGUAGGCGGUUUUAUAAGUCAGAUGUGAAAGUCCACGGCUCAACCAUGGAAGUGCAUUUGAAACUGUAAGACUUGAGUAGUGGAGGGGGUAGUGGAAUUCCCGGUGUAGAGGUGAAAUUCGUAGAUAUCGGGAGGAAUACCGGUGGCGAAGGCGACUAUCUGGCCAAAUACUGACGCUGAGGUGCGAAAGCGUGGGGAGCAAACAGGAUUAAAUACCCCCGUAGUC
rnacentral:rRNA from 1 species